UACGAAGGAGGCUAGCGUUGCUCGGAAUCACUGGGCGUAAAGCGCACGUAGGCGGAUCGCUAAGUCAGGGGUGAAAUCCUGGAGCUCAACUCCAGAACUGCCUUUGAUACUGGCAAUCUCGAGUCCGGGAGAGGUGAGUGGAACUGCGAGUGUAGAGGUGAAAUUCGUAGAUAUUCGCAAGAACACCAGUGGCGAAGGCGGCUCACUGGCCCGGUACUGACGCUGAGGUGCGAAAGCGUGGGGAGCAAACAGG
rnacentral:rRNA from 1 species